AAUGUCGGAACUACGACAUAAGUUUGAGGAUCGGGUUUGGAAACCAGAUGAGGUGUUCGCCACAUACUUAAGCGAAAAAAAAAAAACAUAUUCGCACAGCACAUUAAUAUUGAUGUAGAGGAGGGUAUUAUUCGAGUCAUACCUUGCGAAAACUUGCGCAUUCAAUCUAGUAUGCAUUGUUUUACCAAUCCGGCUCAAAUCUUACGUGCGCUUGCAUCUAUAAAAUGGCCAAUUAAACGGACACGAAACACUGUAGUGAUAUAAGCUGCACAGGAAACACAGGCGGACAACCAACAACGUUGCUACAAUUGCAAUGUCAAGGGCCAUUGCGCUAAAGAAUGUUGAAAGCCUAAACGGGAGCCAGAAUCUUGCUAUGCGUGCAGUUCAAAGGAUCACCUAAUAGCAGGAUGUCCAAAUAGGAAGUCUGUUAUGGAAAACAAAUAUAAUAGACUAUGGCAGCCCUAUUUUAUUUUCAAAGGAAAAGUUUGUGUCAUCAGGAAUUAAGCGUAUGCCAGAUGCGAGUUCGUAUGUAGGUUUAAAUGGAAGUAAACUAAGAAAUGUUGAAAAAAUCUUAUGUUAUAUGAAGAAAAAGGAAUAAAUGUUUAUUUUAAUGUUAUAAUUGUGGCAAAUGAGUCUAUGAGGUAUGACGCUGUGCUUGGCAGAGAUUUUAUGGAUGCUUUUGAUUUGAAUAUUGAUUUAAGAACAUUGAAAAUUGUGAAUGUGGAUAAAGUUGAUUAUCAGAAAAUUGUUAAAAAAAAUAACAAAGCUAAGUACAAGCUACAAUAAAGAAGCAAAUGAAGUGGUAGAUGAAUUGAACAAAAA